UACGGGGGGGGCAAGCGUUGUUCGGAAUUACUGGGCGUAAAGCGCGUGUAGGCGGCUUUGCAAGUCGGAUGUGAAAUCCCACGGCUCAACCGUGGAAGUGCAUUCGAAACUGCAAGGCUAGAGUCCUGGAGAGGAAGGUGGAAUGCUUGGUGUAGAGGUGAAAUUCGUAGAUAUCAAGCGGAACACCGGUGGCGAAGGCGGCCUUCUGGACAGUGACUGACGCUGAGACGCGAAAGCGUGGGGAGCAAACAGG
rnacentral:rRNA from 1 species